rnacentral:lncRNA from 1 species
GAUAUUUCAUGCAUUGUUUGCAUUUGAUGGCAUAGUAUAGGAUAGACGCAGUUUCAUUUCUAUAUAUAUCUAUCUAUCUAUCUGUGCCAGCUUUGACCUAGUGGGAACAUCGGCGGAGUCGGCGGCCGUACCCACUGGGAACUAUAUUUAUAUAGUUCUCACCCCAUCUUGUUGCAGGGCCGAGUGCGAGCGUUCCGGGGGAGGAUCGCGGUAAGGGCGUAGCGCCCUGGCUAGCUAGUUGUGGCUUUCCUUUUGUACUAGAGUACCCUCGUGUACAUAGGUGACAUGGUUGUAUUUUG